GACGAACGCUGGCGGCGUGCUUAACACAUGCAAGUCGAACGGAAAGGCCCUGCUUUUGUGGGGUGCUCGAGUGGCGAACGGGUGAGUAACACGUGAGUAACCUGCCCUUGACUUUGGGAUAACUUCAGGAAACUGGGGCUAAUACCGGAUAGGAGCUCCUGCUGCAUGGUGGGGGAUGGAAAGUUUCGGCGGUUGGGGAUGGACUCGCGGCUUAUCAGCUUGUUGGUGGGGUAGUGGCUUACCAAGGCUUUGACGGGUAGCCGGCCGGAGAGGGUGACCGGCCACAUUGGGACUGGGAUACGGCCCAGACUCCUACGGGAGGCAGCAGUGGGGAAUAUUGCACAAUGGGCGGAAGCCUGAUGCAGCAACGCCGCGUGCGGGAUGACGGCCUUCGGGUUGUAAACCGCUUUCGCCUGUGACGAAGCGUGAGUGACGGUAAUGGGUAAAGAAGCACCGGCUAACUACGUG
rnacentral:rRNA from 1 species